rnacentral:rRNA from 1 species
UACGUAGGGUGCAAGCGUUGUCCGGAAUUAUUGGGCGUAAAGAGCUCGUAGGCGGUCUGUCGCGUCAGCUGUGAAAACUUGGGGCUCAACCCCGAGCCUGCAGUCGAUACGGGCAGACUAGAGUGCGGUAGGGGAGACUGGAAUUCCUGGUGUAGCGGUGAAAUGCGCAGAUAUCAGGAGGAACACCGGUGGCGAAGGCGGUUCUCUGGGCAUUACCUGACGCUGAGGAGCGAAAGUGUGGGGAGCGAACAGG